AACACAUAACAAUAAGUUCGUUUUCCUUUUCUGUCAAAACUCCGUAAUAUUUAUCGAUCACCUUACUAAUGAAAUGGACCCGUCCAAACGUAGUAGAUGCCAAGUCGGUCCGAUGAAGAGAUAUUUACAAUUUGGAAUUUUCUAGUUUAUUAAUACAUAGAUUGAAAAAAAGUACGUCUUUUUAAAUAUCAUGAUCAAAACUGGGUUUGCAUAACAAAUGUCAGAUGAAACCAUUAUCCUCGUCUUUUCAGUGAACAAGUCUACUACGUUUGUUGACACUCGACGGUCCACCGUGUUAGCAAUUUUAUUAGGGCCCCGCCGACGGCGGUCGCCCUAUAGUGAUCAGUCUGUCCGUCCGUCCGUCCGUCCGUCCGUAACACUUUCGUGUCCGCUCCAUAUCUAGAGAACCGUUAUGAUUUCAUACUUAAUACUUAACAUGAUUAUUAACCAACACCAGAGGGUGUGUCAUGUUGUAUGUACAACUUCCUAGGUCAAAGGUCAAGGUCAAAAACUUUGGUUUCAGUUGACAACCCCGUGUCCUGUGGUGAAGAUCGUGUCCGCUCCAUAUCUAGAUAACCAUUAUGAUUUCAAAGUUUAUACUUGACAUCCAUUUUAACAACCACCAGAGGGUGUGUCAUGAUGUAUGUACAACUUCCUAGGUCAAAGGUCAAGGUCAAAAACUUUGGUUUCGAGUUGACAAUCCUGUGUCCUGUGGUGAAGAUCGUGUCCGCUCCAUAUCUAGAUAAUCGUUAUGAUUUCAAAGUAUAUACUUGUCAUACAUUUUAACCACCACCAGAGGGCGUGUCAUGAUGUAUGUACAACUUCCUAGGUCAAAGGUCAACGUCAAAAAAACUUUGGUUUCAGUUGACAACCCUGUGUCCUGUGGUGAAGAUUGUGUCCGCUCUAUAUCUUGAGAACCGUUAUGAUUUCAAAUAUUAUACUUGACAUCCAUUUUAACCAACACCAGAGGGUGUGUCAUGAUGUAUGUACCACUUCCUAGGUCAAAGGUCUGUCUGUCUGUUGGUCUGUCCAUCGCUAACAAAUUUGAUCCACAUUAUAUUUUGAGAGGACAGCUGUUAUUAUUUCAUACUUUAUACCUGACAAACAUUUUCAACUUAACAUAUAUAUUAACCAACACAAGAGAAUGUGUCAUAAUGUAUGCAUCCUAGGUCUAAGAUCAGUCUGUCGGUCUGUCCAUCCGUUCGUUGUUCUUAACAAAUUGUGUCCGCUCUACCUCUCGAGAACCAUUAAUAUUUCAUACUUUAUACUUGGUGGGUCAUAAUAUAUUGAAGGCAUAAUUCUAAAAAUAUGUGACAAAUAUCAAUUGGGCAGCACCUUUAAACAUAUUGUUCAAACAUCAAUCCAUAUAUCCAGAAGUCACCUUAGAGUAGUAAACAAUGAGUUCACAUCAUGCAGUCAUAUCACUAUUAUACUAUGAAAGUAAGAUGAGAAUAUUUAUCAGUUUUAACUUAAAAUCUUAGAUCAAAAUCACACAUGAGACUAUGUAAUAACUUCAAAUAAUGCUUCAUAUCAGAUUAUCCAUACAACUUAUUUACCCCACGUUAUUGACAGCGGGGCCCACAGAGAUGGCUCCCAUCUCAAUGAUAUCUAGUUUCACAUGUUUUCGAAAUAUUGAAGAUCAUUUUUCGCAAUGUUUCCUAAAAAUUGAUAAAUAUCAAAGCAACGUAGAGCUGUUUGUUCUUGUUCAUAUAAUAAAAUUGAGAAUGGAAAUGGGGAAUUUGUCAAAGAGACAACAACCCGACCAUAGAAAAACAUACAACAGCAGAAUUAAGGUCACCAACAGGUCUUCAAUGCAGCGAAAAAUUCCCGCACCCGGAGGCGUCCUUCAGCUGGCCCCUAUACAAUAUAUAUACUAGUUCAUGAUAACGAUUUAAUGUCAUGUCAAGUUGUCUGUGAUGACCCCCCUUUUCGGGAUUGCAUGAGAAUUGUAGUUAUCUCGUACCCACAUGCACUUGUUUCUAUCCAUAGGAAGGUCGAC
rnacentral:lncRNA from 1 species